GCCCAAUGGAAAAUGUCCUCACUUCAUGGGAUGCCAAAGGAGAGAGAAGGUCCUAACUUUAAUUAUUGGCACAUUUGAAUAUCUUCAUUCUGAACAGACACAAAGAGGCUCAGGUUCUCCAGAGAAACAGAACAAGGUAAAUUCAAAGUGCUGAGCCAACGCGUCCUUGGAGCAAGAUACCGAAGGUUUGCUGCUGUGACCUGCUGGAGGACAGGAUUACACGGCAGGAAGGCAGAAGACUAGGCGCCAUGGGAAAGGAGAGUAUUAACACAAAGCCCCAGUUACCACGUAAUGAGAGAGUCUGACAAGUAACAACAGCAAUGCAGCCGUAAUAGAAUUUCAAUGAGAUAAAUUCUGCUUUCUGCCCAAGUUUAGCCACUCAGGGAAGAAACAAUUACCUUGUGAAAAUGGAACACUCACCCUAUAUUAUCCCUUCAUUAAAAUAUUCAA